CUCUACUAAAAAUGGCGCGUCGUAAUUAGCCCAUGCAUUGACAUUGUUCACCGUUUGUUUGCGAGUUCCUUUGGAAUAAAUUGUCAAUCAAUCCUUACAAUAAUUUCUUCAAUUGAAGGAUCGUAGUUAAAAUCAGGUUGGACCAAACUACUUCAAGACUGCGAAAAAAUGUGAUGUCUUUGGUGUUUGCUGUGAAGGUACAGGAAAACAGGUGUUUUACUUGGCGAAUGAGGGUGAAUCACCCGGGAAAGGCGCCAACACUGUUGUUAGCUAUGUGCAUUACUAGCUUCAUCACUAUGGCCUAGGGGAGGAAAAGGCAGUUUUCUACUUUGACAACUGCUGAACAAAAUAAGAACAACUGUGUACUUUGGUAUGCAUUGUGGAGAGUUAGUGUUGGGCUGCACACUCGAAUGAGAAACUCGAUGAUGGUGACUGCGGCCACAUCAUGUUCUAGCCUGAUUGGCAUUUUGGAU